rnacentral:rRNA from 1 species
GAUGAACGCUGGCGGCGUGCCUAAUACAUGCAAGUCGAGCGAACAGACGCGGCGCUUGCUCCUCUGACGUUAGCGGCGGACGGGUGAGUAACACGUGGAUAACCUACCUAUAAGACUGGGAUAACUUCGGGAAACCGGAGCUAAUACCGGAUAAUAUAUUGAACCGCAUGGGUCAAUAGUGAAAGACGGUUUUGCUGUCACUUAUAGCUGGAUCUGGGCCGCAUUAGCUGGUUGGGAAGGUAACGGGUUAUCAAGGCAAGGAGGGGUGGCCGACCGGACAGGGUGAUCGCCCACACUGGAACGGGGACAGGGACAAGGCGCCUACGGGAGGCAGCAGUAGGGAAUCGUCCGCAAUGGGCGAAAGCUUGGCGGAGCAGCCGCGCGUGAGUGAUGAAGGUCUUCGGAUCGUAAAACUCUGUUACUAGGGAAGAACAAAUGUGUAAGUAACUAUGCACGUCUUGACGGUACCGAAUCAGAAAGCCACGGCUAACUACGUG